rnacentral:rRNA from 1 species
UGGGGAACUUUNNNNCAAUGGGCGCAAGCCUGAUCCAGCCAUGCCGCGUGUCUGAAGAAGGCCUUCGGGUUGUAAAGGACUUUUGUCAGGGAAGAAAAGGCUGUUGCUAAUAUCGACAGCUGAUGACGGUACCUGAAGAAUAAGCACCGGCUAACUACGUGCCAGCAGCCGCGGUAAUACGUAGGGUGCGGGCGUUAAUCGGAAUUACUGGGCGUAAAGCGAGCGCAGACGGUUACUUAAGCAGGAUGUGAAAUCCCCGGGCUCAACCUGGGAACUGCGUUCUGAACUGGGUGACUAGAGUGUGUCAGAGGGAGGUAGAAUUCCACGUGUAGCAGUGAAAUGCGUAGAGAUGUGGAGGAAUACCGAUGGCGAAGGCAGCCUCCUGGGAUAACACUGACGUUCAUGCUCGAAAGCGUGGGUAGCAAACAGGAUUAGAUACCCUGGUAGUCCACGCCCUAAACGAUGUCAAUUAGCUGUUGGGCAACUUGACUGCUUAGUAGCGUAGCUAACGCGUGAAAUCGACCGCCUGGGGAGUACGGUCGCAAGAUUA